UCCUUCUAAUGAGGGCUCCUCCACCCUUGAUCUGUCAUGUGGGAGGCCCUGCAAGUAUUCACGAGUUAAAAAAUUAGGUAGGCUAUUGUUAGAACCUUUAAUAUAUUCGAUUUGAAAAUCAAAGAGAGAUAAUUGUGCUUGCCAAGUAGCAAAGAUUUGUUUGGAAGUUAGAUUUUUAACAUCCUUUUCUAAAAUAUAUUUUGCAGAACGGCAAUCAAUGCGUAACAAAAAUGAUUUACUUAGCAAGUCAUCUUGAAAUUUAAGAAUAGUUUUGACGAUUGCUAACAUUUCCAUUUUAAUUGUAGAAUAUUUACUUUGAGUAGGAUUCCAUAAUCCAGAGGCAAAAUAGACUAAUUGCUCUUUGGUAGAGAUUGGGUGGCGUUGUUUGAGUAUACCACCGUACCCUAAAUUUGAGGCGUCAGGUUCAAUGAUUUUAAAAUUUUUGAGAUUAGCUAGAUUGAUACAUGGUAAAUUUUUUACCCGUUGUUUAAUAAGCUGGAUUGCUUUCAUACAUUCGAGAGUCCAAGGUGGAGGAUUUUUUCUAAGUCUUUUAUAGAGUGGUGCAACAUCAAUAGCUAGAUUUUUUUAAAAUUUAGAUACAUAAUUAAGGGCUCCUAAAAAUCGUUGGAGCUUUUGUUUAUCUAAAAUUUGAUCAGGAAAUUUAUCAGCAAAUUCAAUGCUUCUAUUAAUUGGAGUAAUAGUAUUAUUACUAAUGAAAUGACCGAGAAAUCUAACUUCGAUUUGAAAUAGUUUCAUUUUGGGUUCAGAAAUAACGAACCCAUUUGUUUGAGCUAACCACUUAAAAGUUUUUAAGUGUUUAAAAUGUUCUUUUAUUAUUUUAGAAUAAAUAAGAACAUCUUCAAUAUAAACUAUAAUAUAUUGACUAUAUGGAUUGAAUAUUUCAUUCAUAAUUUUUUGAAAUUCGGAUGGGGCGUUCUUUAGACCGAAUGGCAUAACGUUCCAUUCAUAUUGGCCGAAUGGAACAAUGAAUGCUGUUUUGUAGCGAUCAUAAUCAGCUAUUUGGAUUUGCCAAAAGCCCGAUCUAAGAUCAAAUUUAGAGAAGAUUUAUGCUUUGAUUAAUCGAUUUAAUAAAUCUUAUUUAUUCGGAAUCGGAUAUCUUAUCCAUUUUAAAACCUUAUUAAGCGAUUUAUAAUUAAUAACUAAAUGAGGUUUUUCUCUUACUUUUUCUGCAGCAUUCAUAACAUAAAAUGUUGUACAGCUCCAUGGUGAGCUAGAAUUACGAAUUAAUUUUUUAUUUAGUUAUUCUGAAAUUUCAUUUUAACAUAAUUGAUGAUACGCUUUAUUCAUUUGGGAAGGCCUUGUCUUAGUAGGGAUAGUAUUUUCAUCGAAGUUCUCGAUAUAGGGAAGAGUAACACAAUGUGUUUUUCAAUUCCAAAAACUAAUAGGAUUUUCCCCGCAUAUAUGGGUUUUAAGUUCCUUUUCAAGUUGUGAAAUUUUUUGUUGAAUUAAUGGCUGUUGUAAUUUAACUGCUAAUUCUUUAGAUUUAAUUUCUUCAGAUAAGGAAUUAAUAUGUAAUUGUUUUCCUUUGAAUUUAUUUAUUUCAUUUAAAAUAAUUUCUGUUAUAAAUUGAAAUUUAAUAGGAGGAUCACAACAAUAUGAGGUGAUUCCCUCAUUAUCUAUUUUUAUAGGCAUAAUUUUAUAUAGGAACGGAGUUCCUAAAAUAAUAUGUUGAGAAAGAUUUUUAACUAAUAAAAAAGGAGUAUUGAUGCAGUAGUCUUACUAACAUACUGCUACUUGAGAUAGUUUGUAUUUGAUUUGCAUACUAUUUCCACUUGCUGAUGUUAACUACUGAGUGGUUUUUUUAAAGUAUUUUGAAGGGAUUAAUCCUUCUUGAAUGCAAUUCUUAUCUGCUCCACUAUCUACAAGAGCAGUUAGAUUGCUGAGAACCAUUGAUUUUUGUAUUACUAAAGUGAUGGUAAUGAACCAUUUAUGAAUUAUGGCCUUUUGUAAGGAGUUAAUGAGAGUGUUAUUUUUUAAUUUUGAGAUGUAGAUGGUUAUGCUGGAUCAGGUUGAUUUAGAAGUUGUUCUAAUUCGAGAUUAGUUAUCCUAGUGAAUAAUUUGUCUUGUUCAGAUUUUAUGAGAUGAAUUUUAGAUUUUAAUGUUUUUAAUUCUAAUUUUAAUUCAGCUAGAGUAGUUAGAGUAGAAGAUUCUUGUAUUUUGAAGUGAUCUAAGACUUCUCUCAUAGAGUAAUUAGGAAAUUUUUGAAUUUUUGAUAAAGGCGUUUCUUCAGAAUUUCCUAAUAGUUUAAUUAUUUGAUCUCUAGAUUUAGGAUCUUGUAUUGUUCCUAAUAGUUGAAUAAGCUGAUCUUUUUAUUCAUUAUUUAGAAUAAAUAAUCCUGAUUUUUCUACUAUAGCUUUAUAAUAAUCAUUACUAUUGCAAUUGUUGCAACAUAUAGAUUUUUCUGAAUCAGAAUUAUCAAGAUCUAUUUCAGUUUCAGAGUUGGAUUCAGACUCAGAUUGAUCUGAAUUAAGAAGUAUCUUCAUAAGAAGAUCUUUAGUGUUACUGUCAAGAUUUACCUCACUAAUUUUUUUCUUCAUAGGACAUUUGUUUGAAUAAUGUCCUAUUUUCCCACAUUUAAAACAUUUGAUUGUUUUAUCAUAAUAUUUUUCUCUCGGGGUUUGAUAAUGUUUUUCAUUAGUUUUCCUUUUAGGAAAUUGCUUCGGAUACUUCUUAUGAUGAGGCAUCUUUGUCUCUUUAUUAUGAGGUCGUCGUUUGGCCAAAUUUCGUUCUCUUCAGGUUAAUGGGCCUGGGCAUGCGAACUGUUCGUAGAAAGCCCCUAAUUAUUUUCGAUCCGCUAUUCUUUCUCGUUUUAGCUAUUGUUGCAUUCUAAUGUCAUUGCAUAAAGUAAUUCCAACUUUUAUGCAUUCACUAAUGAUACGUCGAACGUAUAUUGUUCAAAGAUUAAUUGCCCAUUGGUUUUUCAUAAUUUAUCUUUUACCUUAGUUGCAAAAGAUACAGGUAGUCCUUCUAGGAAUUUUUCUUUCCAAUAAUUUGAACUAGCGUCUGAUAAGUUCAUUACUCUAGUCAUAAAGACAUCCUUAUACCAUCUAAAAUGGGAUGAUACCAUCUAAAAUGGGAUAAAGAAGGACAUAUCAAUUUUUGUAGUAGAGAAUGCAUUUGCUCUCCGUUAUCAGUCAUAUAUCCUAGAAAAUGUUCUAAGAUAUUAUGGAUAAGCAUAUAGACAGCUUCAUCAUUUGUCUUUUCUGGAUCUAAAGGACUUUUCUCACUCUGCAGAUCAUUUUUCUCUGAUUUAUUUAGAUAAUUAUCCCACCAACCCUUUAAGAUUCCGGUGAAACCAUUGACUAUGAUUUGAACUACUUCCCAAGGUUUAUUUCCUUUGCUUUGGGCAACUAUCACACAUAUGAGCAUGCGAUGGAUAGUUUUAUGGAUUUGAUAGUCAGAGAGACAAUCAAAUUCCAUUCAUAUAACUGUCGAGAAUAAUAGGAUAUUUGUUCAUUAAGAUCUUCUUCGUAUAGAAGAUCUGAAGGAGUAGGUCUAUCAUAAUAAUAUUUUCCUAAUGAUUUUUUAGGAAAUUUUAAUUUAUUUAUAGUUAAAAGUUGAGAAUUCAAAUUAAAAAAUUGAAAUUGCUCUUCUAAUAGCUCAAUAUCAUAAUUACCUGAAGAAGAGUUUUCGGUUUCUUCCUCAAGGUCAUUAGAAGAUAACUCUUGGUCUAAAAUUGUAUUUUUUUUAGAUUUAAUUUGUUUUAUUACUUCCGAAAUAUUAAGAUCUUCAUCUAAUUUAAGUUUGAUGAGAGGUGGAAGUUUGAUAGAAGGUUUAGUAAUAUACAUGGAAGAACUUGCUGAAGAUUUUUCAGCUUGAUUUUGAUCUACUUUUUCUUUUAAUAGAUAUAAUUUUCUCUCAAUGUUUUCUAAGUGUUAUGUAAGAGUUUGCAACGUACUAUUGGUAAAAUUAAGUUGUUUAAUUAUUAAGGCAAAUUCUUUAAUUGCCUGACGAUCGGAAGAUAUGGAUCUAAAAGGAGUCAUUGCUAUUUCUGGUUUAGAAGAUAAAUUUGGCUGUCCUUUGAUCAUUCUAAUAUUAGAGAUUAUUUUAUUGGUAAACCAAUACACAAAUGGAACUGUUGCUUUUCCUUUGUUAUUUAGGUUUUCUAAAUCUAAAAAAUAUUAAUCUGAGAAAUUAAUUCGUUCUUCUUCUAAGAACAUUUUUCUAUACCAAGUUCGUAAUGAUUCAAAUUUUUGGUAACAUAUAGUGACGGAUUACCAUCUCUCUUAUGGCUGUAUUGGGCCCAUACAUCAUUUUAAAAUUACAUUUCAGAGGGAGUUGGGGAGUCCAUAUUUGAAUGUCCCCGUAUUGGAUGGAAUAUUCUAUUUUGAUUAAGAGUUAGUCCCGGGCUAGAGGCCAGUUCGGAUUUAUCAGAUUUUGAGGUUCUGAUCUCUUCCAAAGAAGAAGGAAUUGAUAUCCUAGGGAGAUGAAUUAAUCUUCUAGGAUUAAAUCUUACUUCAACAUCUCCGUCUGAAGUUUGCACUAUUUGGUCAAUAUCCUGGUUUAUGAUAGAUUGAGGUGUAAUAACCUAAGGUAAUGUCCAUUGUUCUAGAAAUGUUACUUCGUUCCAAUGGAUUACCCUAUUUGUAGCUAUAUUGGAAGCUAAGAGAUUAGUUUCUAUUAAGGUAGUUUGACUAUUUGGUUGGACUACCUUUCUUACUCUAGAACUUAGAGUAUUCAUGACCAUAAAAUGAGUUCGAUAGAUUAAGGCUAUUGUUUCUGAUCCAGGGAGAAAAUUAUAUCCAUGGAGUUGUAAAUGUAAUUUUAGUGCUUCCAAUAGAUGCACAUCCGUUAGUGAUAAGCUAAGAUUUGGGAAUGUGUUAAAGUAAACCGGUCCAUGGAGAGACUGGUUUCAUUAACUCUUAUGAGAGAUUGUGCCCAAUUUAGGCAUCUUCCAUCUCUUAAGCAUGUAAGGAUGGAAGCAUUAAGUCCUCUUAAAGUUAGAGGAUUAAAUGUGAUUUGAAUUAUUCCAUUAUGUAGAUAUUUGUAAUCUUGCAUAUAAGAUCUUAAAUCAUCAUAAGAUAACAUGAAAUUGUUUUCCUGUAGAAUCAAUUGUGAAAGAUUGUUCAACCAUCUUUAUGGUAGUUUUACCUUUGAAAUCAAAGGUUCCAAUUUGAUAGAUUAAUGUUUUAUCUAUCUUGGGGUAGUGACCACUUAUUUAGAUCAUCUUCAUUAAGAGGGUAUUUUAUUAAUUCGGCAUUUUUAAUGUCUCUAAAAGAGGGUACUUUCCUCUUUUAGAGAACAAAUGAAGAUGAAUAGGUAGAGGAAGACAUUAUGAUUAAAGGUGUUGAUAAGUUUGUCAUAUUUACUAAAAAUGAAAAAGGCAAUUAGAUUGAUCAUCUGAAAUAAAAUACUGUAGUUACAUAACAACUGCAUAAAUACAUGGACUAUCCCGGACUUACUACCCAGUCUCAACGGGUUUUACUGCCAAAGUCCAAUACAAAUAUGAAUAAGCAUAGUAACUACAUUAUUUUAGAUCAAGAGUGAAAACUCUAACAGAAGGACAGAAUUCCUGCCUUAGUCAUUUGUAGCAAUGGUGAGAAACUUAUCAACAAUAUAGAGUUAAGCCAACAUGGCUCUGAUACCAAAUUGCGGAUUAAUUUUUAAAGCAAGCAAACUACUCAGAAAUUAAUUAACAUAAAGACUAACAUAAUUAAACACUUACAAAAGAGUCUUCUGAAGACUCUUUUGUAAGUAUUUAAUUCUGUUAAUCUUCUGUUAUACUCAAACAAUGCCACCCAAUCUCUACCAAAGAGCAAUUAGUCCGUUUCACCUCCGGAUUAUGGAAUCCUACUCACGAAUCCUACUCAAAGUAAAUAUUCUACACUUAAAAAAGAAAUGUUAGCAAUCGUCAAAACUAUUCUUAAAUUUCAAGAUGACUUGCUAAAUAAAUCUUUUUUAUAACACAUUGAUUGCAGUUACGCAAAAUAUAUUUUAGAAAAGGAUGUUAAAAAUGUAGCUCCCAAACAAAUCAUUGCUACUUGGCAAGCACAAUUAUCUCUCUUUGAUUUUCAAAUAGAAUAUAUUAAAGGUUCUACCAAUAGCCUACCUGAUUUUUUAACUCGUGAAUACUUGCAAGGCCUCCCGCAUGAUAGAUCAGGGUUGGAGGACCCCUCAUCAGGAGUCAAUGACUCCUAGAGGGCGCGGAUGGCCUCGAGGUUCUACCCGAGGUCGUAAUAAUUCUACUCGUGGAUGAGGCACUAACCCUCAACAGCCACAAAUGAAAAUCCAAUUCCUGGUUGGUUUUUCAAGUGGUGGGAGCAGAAAGGUACUACCAUUUCCAUCCUUCUUCCCGAACUUAAACAGAAAUAUUCCGUGUGGGUAGACACCUCCCCUCAUAUGCAAAAUCUCAACUCUGACCAUAUCACCAAAGGCAUGACUGAAUUCUUUUUCUUUAUGCAAGGACAACUUCCAUGGAUUUGGACAUGGAACAUAGAAAUCAAUCAAGAUAGUUUUAUUAGUAUUAAAUGUCUGGUUCACAAUUUUUCCAUCAAAUGGUGGUUAGCUAUUUUGCUUGCAGAUAAGGUCAAGCAAAUUUACAAGGUUAUUCAGAACAAUCAAUUGAAGGCCCGGAGCUUGCUUACAAAUUAAGGUUUGUCUUCAAUAGGCAUAUAUACAACAACUAGCUGAAAUCUUUUCAAAAUUCAAUAAAGCUUCCCAAAAAUCAGAAGAUGUACCAAAAAACUAGGACCAGAUGAGCACCCAGUCUCGUGAAGGCAGACCCAGCACCAGCACUAGAAAGGGAAAAGCAAUUCUUGAGGAGGAUGAUGAUUUUACUAUUUGAUCAGUGGAUAUUGGACCCCACUAUCCUCAACAAUCGAUGGGCACAGCAGCACCAGCACCUUACCAGACAUCCACCAAACACAACACUAAACUAAAGUUUGUAUGAAAAGUCUUCUCCACUAACCAAUUAGUGAAAAAUUAAUGGAAAUGUAGCCUCCACUCAUCUAAAUAAUUGUCCUUUAAAAUCUUUUUCUUUAUUCGGAUGUAAAAUUAUAGUUUGAAGUCCGCUAGUUUAAAAGCCUAUAAAUGUAAGCCUCUUCGGCAGAACUUGUUAGAACUUGUAAGCAAAGUUUAAGUUUGCAAUAAAUCUCUUCUGAAGACUCUUUUGUAAGUA